AAGCUCGUAGUUGAAUUUCGGGGUUCUACCGUUGGUCGGGCUAACCAGUCUGUACUAGCGUGUAGAAUUCCUACCUUCUGGGGAACCAUUAUGUUAUUAAUUUAGCGUGGUGGGAAACCAGGACUUUUACCUUGAAAAAAUUAGAGUGUUCAAAGCAGGCUUACGUCUGAAUACAUUAGCAUGGAAUAAUGAAAUAGGACGGUGGUCCUGUUUUGUUGGUUUCUGAAUCACCGUAAUGAUUAAUAGGGAUAGUUGGG
rnacentral:rRNA from 1 species